UUACAGAGGUCUCGUUAACCGAGAUCUCUCAAACGGAAUGAGUACAACGUGAAUCCUUUAACGAGGAUCGACUGGAGGGCAAGCCUGGUGCCAGCAGCCGCGGUAAUUCCAGCUCCAGUAGCGUAUAUUAAAGCUGUUGCGGUUAAAAAGCUCGUAGUUGGAUAUCAGUGCGUGUUCGGUUCGGCAUGCCAGGUGCGUUGUGCGCUUUGCGUUAUGACGCCCGGGCUCCCAAAUGUCGGCUGGCCGCAUUCAAUCUUGUCGGACUCGUCGGCAGCCGCUCUUCGGAGUGUGCCGCUGGCGACUGGCGGUGUUACCUUGAACAAAUUAGAGUGCUCAAAGCAGGCUCACAAUGCCUGUAUACAUAUUCAUGGAAUUGGAGAAUACGUCCCUGGCUCGAUUUGGUUGGUUUUGAGAGUCGAAGGGAAAUGAUUAAUAGGGACUGACGGAGGCAUUCGUAUUGCGACGCGAGGGGUGAAAUCCUGUG
rnacentral:rRNA from 24 species